UUUGGCUCACCGUAAUGAACACACCAAAUUUUGUCUGAUUUUGGAAGUUAAGCAGGGUAAGACAUAGUUAGCAGUUGGAUAGGAGACCACCAGAGAAUAUGACAACUAAGA
rnacentral:rRNA from 1 species